rnacentral:rRNA from 1 species
UUGACCUCGGAUCAGGUAGGAAUACCCGCUGAACUUAAGCAUAUCAAUAAGCGGAGGAAAAGAAACCAACAGGGAUUGCCCUAGUAACGGCGAGUGAAGCGGCAACAGCUCAAAUUUGAAAUCUGGCCUUCGGGUCCGAGUUGUAAUUUGCAGAGGAUGCUUUUGGCGCGGUGCCUUCCGAGUUCCCUGGAACGGGACGCCUUAGAGGGUGAGAGCCCCGUACGGUUGGACACCAAGCCUCUGUAAAGCUCCUUCGACGAGUCGAGUAGUUUGGGAAUGCUGCUCUAAAUGGGAGGUAAAUUUCUUCUAAAGCUAAAUACCGGCCAGAGACCGAUAGCGCACAAGUAGAGUGAUCGAAAGAUGAAAAGCACUUUGAAAAGAGGGUUAAAUAGCACGUGAAAUUGUUGAAAGGGAAGCGUUUACGGCCAGACCUUUUCCUGGCGGAUCAUCUGGUGUUCUCACCAGUGCACUUCGCCAGGUUUAGGCCAGCAUCGGCUUCUGUAGGGGGAUAAAAGCAGUGGGAAAGUAGCUCCCUCGGGAGUGUUAUAGCCCUAAGCAUAAUACCC